UACGAAGGGGGCUAGCGUUGCUCGGAAUCACUGGGCGUAAAGGGUGCGUAGGCGGGUCUUUAAGUCAGGGGUGAAAUCCUGGACGCUCAACUCCGAGAACUGCCUUUGAUACUGAAGAUCUUGAGGUUUCGGGAGAGGGUGAGUGGAACUGCGAAGUGUAGAGGUGAAAUUCGAUAGAUAUUCGCAAGAACACCAGUGGCCGGAAGGCGGCUCACUGGCCCGAUACUGACGCUGAGGCACGGAAAGCGUGGGGAGCAAACAGG
rnacentral:rRNA from 1 species